GUAAAGAUGGCUGAGUUUAUAGGUGGUGGAUUGUAAUUCCAUUUAUGGGGUGUUGAGCCUCUCUUUGCA
rnacentral:tRNA from 1 species